rnacentral:rRNA from 1 species
UACGUAGGGGCCGAGCGUUGUCCGGAGUUACUGGGCGUAAAGCGCGCGCAGGCGGCGCAUCGCGCCCGGCGUGAAAGCCCCCGGCUCAACCGGGGAGGGUCGUCGGGGACGGGUGCGCUUGAGGACGGCAGGGGCAGGUGGAAUUCCCGGUGUAGUGGUGAAAUGCGUAGAGAUCGGGAGGAACACCAGUGGCGAAGGCGACAGCCUGGACUGAUCGUGACGCUGAGGCGCGAAAGCUAGGGGAGCAAACGGG